ensembl:misc_RNA Metazoa_SRP Metazoan signal recognition particle RNA
GCCAGGGCAUGGUGGUGCAUGCCUGUAGUCUCAGCUACUCGGGAGGCUGAGGCAGGAGAAACACUUGAGCCCAGGAGGUUGAGGCUGCAGUGAGCUGUGACUGCACCACUGCACUCCAGCCUGGGCAACAGAGUGAGACCCUGUCUCAA